UAGGGAAUCUUCCGCAAUGGACGCAAGUCUGACGGAGCGAUGCCGCGUGAGUGAUGAAGGUUUUCGGAUCGUAAAACUCUGUUGUUAGGGAAGAACAUGUACCGUUCGAAUAGGGCGGUACCUUGACGGUACCUAACCAGAAAGCCCCGGCUAACUACGUGCCAGCAGCCGCGGUAAUACGUAGGGGGCAAGCGUUGUCCGGAAUUAUUGGGCGUAAAGCGCACGCAGGCGGUCCUUUAAGUCUGAUGUGAAAGCCCACGGCUUAACCGUGGACGGUCAUUGGAAACUGAGGGACUUGAGUGCAGAAGAGGAGAGUGGAAUUCCAUGUGUAGUGGUGAAAUACGUAGAUAUAUGGAGGAACACCAGUGGCGAAGGCGACUCUCUGGUCUGUAUCUGACGCUGAGGUGCGAAAGCGUGGGGAGCAAACA
rnacentral:rRNA from 1 species